rnacentral:lncRNA from 1 species
GUUCAGCACGCCUUAGUUUUGAAAUCACUAAAAAUAACCUCAUUGAUAAAAAGGCAAGCAGAAGCUGCAGCUGGUGCUCUGCAGCAAGCACGGGUGGGGCAGAGCCCACGGGAAGUGCGGGGACACGACUUGGUGGGAGCUACUCAUGAGGGUACCCAGCCCCCCGAGGAAGAAGGCUGUCACAACAUGGGGACUGGCACUGCAUAUUUGCAGUAUGCCAUUAGUUUAGAUCCUGUGGAAAGAGGGACCCAAACUCUGCUCCACUUAACCCAAAGCACUGCAUAGAAGAUGCCUCUGCAAGCUCUGUUUCCAUGGAAAUGAGCGUUAGUGUUAGCUUCCCCCAGCAAAGUGAAUCUAUCAGACCAACUUCAGCAAAACAGUACUUCCCAGUGAUUUUCAGAAUCCAGGAGCAAUUCAGCAUGGCGAACAAUGGCAAGCAAGACAUGAUUUCUUUCAUGGAGGUGAUGUCCAGUAGGGACCAGUAUAAUCAACUGAUGUGACCUUCUCCUGUCCGCAGACUUUACCUGAAAAGAUGGAUUAAAGCACAUUUUAUAGAAAACCACUUCUUAAAGACUGGAGGUUGUUAUGAACUUACAGCAUCUGAUAAACUGAUACAAUGUUUAAUUACCUUCACAGCUAGGAAAUUAUAUGCUAUUUUAAAAAACAAAGCUGUUGCUUUUUUUCCACCUUUUAUCUUCAGUUUCCAGUUGUUAGAUAUUCCAGUGUUUUUGCCUGCAAGAUUGAAAAACCCACCUCUA